rnacentral:rRNA from 1 species
CAAAGGAGCAAUCCGCUGAAAGAUGGGCUCGCGUCCGAUUAGGUAGUUGGCGGGGCAACGGCCCACCAAGCCGACGAUCGGUAGCCGGACUGAGAGGUUGAACGGCCACAUUGGGACUGAGACACGGCCCAGACUCCUACGGGAGGCAGCAGUGAGGGAUAUUGGUCAAUGGGGGAAACCCUGAACCAGCAACGCCGCGUGAGGGAAGACGGUUUUCGGAUUGUAAACCUCUGUCCUCUGUGAAGAUGAUGACGGUAGCAGAGGAGGAAGCUCCGGCUAACUACGUGCCAGCAGCCGCGGUAAUACGUAGGGAGCAAGCGUUGUCCGGAUUUACUGGGUGUAAAGGGUGCGUAGGCGGCUUUGCAAGUCAGAAGUGAAAUCCAUGGGCUUAACCCAUGAACUGCUUUUGAAACUGCAGAGCUUGAGUGGAGUAGAGGUAGGCGGAAUUCCCGGUGUAGCGGUGAAAUGCGUAGAGAUCGGGAGGAACACCAGUGGCGAAGGCGGCCUGCUGGGCUCUAACUGACGCUGAGGCACGAAAGCGUGGGUAGCAAACAGGAUUAGAUACCCUGGUAGUCCACGCUGUAAACGAUGAUUACUAGAUGUGGGUGGACUGACCCCAUCC